UGGAUGGUGUCACACUGGCCCAGAGGAAGCACCUUUUUCUAAUUACAACAAAGGCACUACAUACCUUCUCAGUGGUCCUGAAUCUUACAAAACAGUGAAACCAAGUGAUGUGGAGACUACUUUAGAUGAGGUGGUCAGGGAAGGUCUUGGCACUGUGAUCCAAAUGAUGAAAUCAUCUAAAGGAAGAGUCUUUAGGGAAGAGAACACUCAACAGAACAGCUCUGAGACAGAAACAAACUUGGGAGAAAAGUGAGAAGCAUAAAGAGAAUAAAGAGGGAUGAUAAUAGACGAGAGAUGUCGCCAAAGUUAGAAGAGCAGAACUUGGACACUGUGCAUGAGAAAAAGGAAAAUUUGAAAGGCCACCAGUGAUGCCCCCUCCCUCAGUCACACCUUCAGACCCCAAGGUCUACGACGGUCUUCUGUCACUUGUCUCUUGGUCCCCCGCUUCCUUCUCAUCUGUGACCCCCUGCCUAGAGUACACAGACAGAAGCAUUGUGCAUCCCACGGUACCUGUCACGCUAUCUCCCAGAGCUCUAUUCUCACCUCCUGUCUCAUCACCCCAUUCAGACGGUUACUUGAAAACAGGAACCCUGUCUUUACUGAU